rnacentral:rRNA from 1 species
AAACUGAAGGGUUUGAUCCUGGCUCAGAACGAACGCUGGCGGCGUGGCUAAGACAUGCAAGUCGAACGAGCUAGGCAAUUGAGCAAUCGAACGCCUAGUUAGUGGCGAAAGGGUUAGUAAUGGCUAGGUAACGUACCCUGUACUUCGGGAUAGCGUCUGAGUGCUUGCACUCUUCCGAAAGGGGCAUUAAUACCGAAUGAUAUCCCCCGUCGAUGGGCGGGUGAUCAAAGAUUUAUCGGUGCAGGAGCGGCCUAGUUCCUAUCAGCUAGUUGGUGAGGUAACGGCCCACCAAGGCGAUGACGGGUAGCGGGACUGAGAGGUUGGCCCGCAACAUCGGGACUGAGACACUGCCCGGACCUCCACGGAGGGCUGCAGUAACGAAUAUUGGGCAAUGAGCGAAAGCUUGACCCAGCGACGCCGCGU